AGGAGGAGGGGGGAGGAGGAGAGAGGAGGGGGGCCUCGAGAGCCACGUCCGCGGGAAAUAAUAGGGAUGAUAAUAAAACAGGGGGAAAACCCGUCCGAGGGAAGCUGAAUGGAUGAAGCCAGAGACACGUCACGACCAGCCGCAGCCAUGAAGACCGUGCGGUCCAACCUCCGGCUGCUCACUCGCUCCCCUUCUUUCGAGCCGCUCGCUUCUCUGGGUUGAAGAGGAGACCGAGGCAGCAGAGGCAGCAGCGGCGACGCGCAGGGCGACAGCGUCAGAAUGUGGCCCAUGUUACUUUGCCUGCAGCUUGAGAGGAUGGGUAGCCUUAGGGGUUGGCUGUUAUCUUUGGUUAUCUAGCUGUAUGAGUGAUGUACAUUCUUCAUAAAGCUAGAUAACCGAAAGUAACAAGAAUCCCAUUACACUCCUGAAAAAGGCAUCAGGACCGCCCCCCCCACCACCACCACGUGUGCAUCCCUUAAAAACAAGGGGAAACGGAAGCACUGCAAAUUCUGCCAAAAGAAGAGUAGUAACAGAAGAAGAAGAAGAAAAUGGACGACGUUUAGACGGACAUGAAAGAGGAAUGCAACAAAAGGCUACCACCACCAGACCAGUGAAGGAGAGCUGGCAAAAGGAGACUGAAAAACAGAGGAGGGGGGAGGAGGGGUUGCUGUUGAUUCUGCCUUCCCUCUCUCUUCGCCCUCCUCUGCAUCCCCCUCCUCCUCCUCCUCAGCUCCAUCCUCAGCAGAGUGCCCUUUUUCCUGUACAGCAAGACGCAGCCUGCGCCACCAUCUUAGAGCAACGCUGGCAUGAAAUGGAAGUGGGAAGACCAGCGAGUGCAGGUGAUUGCCGUCAGCGCCGGAGGAUCUAGAGCAGAAAAUGGAGGGACAGCUCAUGGGCGUUGAAGAGGCUAACGACACCAGCGCGUGACCUCUGCUCUCGAGCUCAGAAAAGCCUGCUGCGGUGGUUUUGCGCCUCAUUUACCCCGAAACAGUCAAGUUGGACCGACCCGAAGACAAACAUGUCUGUGGACUGUGUGCGGAUGAACUGGUCCUUCAUUGAGAUUCUUUCACAGACAAUAUUACAUCACGUAACGUCAACAGAUAUAGGCUCCGCCAACUGCAGGUCACGUUAGUUGAGCUGCGGCCCACGUUGUGUUUGAUUUGUUUUGUUAUAGUUGCUAGGACUCGAAGACACGUGAAUGUGAGACCCACGGCAGCAGUGAAUAAAACUGCACUGCGAUUGGACAGCUCCGUGUGUCUGCCGACACAAUGGCGAAGGAGUGAGCUGUCGUCUUUACACUCUAUGCAACUGUUUUAUCGUCUUUCUUUGUCCUUUCUUGUCAUCCUGAAUGCCAGUUGUGCAUAGCCCCUUUUAUCCAUCCUUUUUUUUUUAGGAGCCUACAUCCCCGGUGUUAAUAUGCUGAUGCAGGAGUUACAGUCAGUGUGUGACAGAUGACAGAAGCACGCCGCUCAGUUUCAUCAGCGGAUGUUCUCAAUCUCAUAUUUGCCACAGUUUGAGUAAAUGUGGACUCACACAUUUAAUAUUCCUGAUGGCAGGAGUGUAUUUGAUCAGCAGGGAGUCGCUGAGAAGGGCUUGUGGCUCUGUGUGUACAGCGCACGCCACACUAUUAAAGCCUUCCCAGCAGGCUUUGCGGCAAGACGUUUGUGCUUCAUAGCAAGUCGACUUCACACACUGUCUUCAUUUCCUGUCCCUGACAUUAACACACACACACACAUAUGCAAUAAAGCAAGUGCUAUCACAGCUUAAUUCAUUCUAUAUUAAUUUUCAGGAAGUGGCAAUUUUUCUAUAUAUAUAUAUAUGACGAUUGAUAAUCUAUGCAAAUCUUUUUAAAUAUUACUUUAAACAAUCAAUGUCUAUGCAGAGCUUUUGAAAUUGAUAAAAGAGACACUUUCUUGGCCUAAUUCAGAAAAUGUAUUCUUUUGAUAAUCAUGCACAUCCCACUGCUCCAGACAAUUACUUAUCUGCCUGGAUAAGCUUGAAAUUAUGUUUUUAAUCUCUAGCAAAAAGAAGAAAGAAGAGUCACUCCUCUGAUAUCAGUCCAAUGGCAUGAAAAGUGUGAAUUGUAGUCUAGUGAAUGUACUUAGGGCUGCAACUAACGAUUAUUUUCAGAAUCAAUUAAUCUGUCAAUUAUUUUCCCGAAUAAAUCAAGUACUUCUGUCUGUAAAAUGUUGAAAAAUUUGAAUUACCGUUUACCAAAUCUGGUAAAUGGUCUUGUUUCAUUAGCAUUUAAGGUGUGGAAAAAUCAGAAAGCAAUAGUUGACGAUUCAUUUAGUAAUGGGUGAAUAAUGGUUGCAGCCCUAAUUGUGCUAAAUCUCUUGGUUUUCUUUAAUGUUGAUCUGUAUCUGUAUCAUGUCGUUGAAAUGUUUGUAUGAUGCAGUCUGAUCACUGUGGAUUCACCACGUGUGCCUUCUCCAUGGAAAACUGUGUUGGAAUAGUAAUAAAGUUGUUUACAUUGAAAACA